ACGAGUUGAUUGAUGCGAACAUCGUUUGCUACGUAAAGCUCGAUAUGUGCCAGUGAAAGUAUGUCAAGAUAAAUCGAUGGAGAAAGUAGCUUUGCUGAUGAACAAGAAAUCAACUUUUCAGAUGAAGUGGAGUUCAGUGUAGUCGAGGAUCACGUGUCCGGAAGGCUGAAUGCGAUUCGUGUGAGAAUCUUACCACGGGGAAACAUAACUCUCCAGGAAAAAGUCUCAAACCUCAGAGAUUGGAUGUUGUGUGUUCAUUAAAGUGUUAUAGCUGUACGUAUUGUAUGUGGGUCAAAUCACACGUCAUUUACACAUCGGAUUUUCGUAGCAUAUGAGAAUAUAUCCAUUUGAAGUAAUAGGAGUGCUGAGCUGGCUAACGGCAGUCUGUUAUCUAAUUAUAUGUACAGCAGAAAGUUUCUCAGCAAAGUGGACCUUUGGUAUGUUUCCUUUACUAUGACUUAACAUCUGUCCAAGGCAGUUCUAUUCAACUCUUUUAAUUUCACUAUAUUUUGCUUCCUAACUUCGUAAUUUAUAUAAUCUAUUUGACACCGUCUCAUUUUGUAUUCUAACACCUUAUGUAAAUAUGAUUAUUUCUCAUAACAUCCUAUUAAGCAUGCAAUGCUACCCAA